CCGAUGACCUGCAGUGCCACACUCCGUGUAUUUGACAAGCUGAGUUGGACACUCCAUGUGGUAGAGUGUCAGUUUGUCAAAUACCCCAAGUGCGGCACAUGCCUAG
rnacentral:pre_miRNA from 1 species